GUUCCCUUCGUCUACCGGCAGGAUAUCACCUUUCAAGGUGAGGAAACGGGUUCAACUCCCGUAGGGAGCGCCA
rnacentral:tRNA from 1 species